GAUACAAUAUUCCCCUAAAGAAACAUUCUUACCAACUUACUCAAAGUGCUAGACGGUGGACAUGAGCAUUUAGAGGAAUGAGUGACAAGUUCGAUAAUAUCCGAGACAACAUAAAAUCUCCUGAGGACGUCCUAAGGACGUCCUGAGGAUGAAGAAUGUCCUCAGGAUUUCCUCAAGAUAUACUCUGGAUGUCCUCUGGAUAUCUAUGCUAUUAGAGAUAAGACUAUAGUCAGAAAUCACAUUAAAUAUAAAACUUCCUGUAACUAAUGGUAUAAUCAUGAUCAGUAUUCACGUAUUAGAUGAAAAUAUUUAGUUUUAUAUAUAUAUAAUUUUUUUUAUUGAUACAAGAUUUAAAACAAAACCUUGCAUCAAUAAGAUAUUUUAUAUAUUUUUUAUUUCACGGUUUAUAAUCAUCCCCUUUAUAGUUGUACCAUUAAUUACAGAACAGAUCAAUUACCAAGUAUAUUGAUAAUACCUACAUAUACGUGAUAAUACUAACACACACACACAUGUAUGUAUGUAUGUAUGUAUGUAUAUAACAUUAUUUACAUUUUAAUAAUAUAUACAAGUAGAUAUUUACAUCAUUUUUUGCAGCAAGGAAAGCAAAGUUUGGCAUCUCUCUUUCACCUACAUUCACAACAUAAUUUAGUUACAUAUGUGCAUAUUAAAUAUAAAAUGUAUAGAAAGAUAAAAUGAAAAAAAGAUUACCUGUUCCACAGUACGAUUUUCUAAUUUUUCACUAAUCAACAGAAAUGAGUUUUCAGAAUAUUCUUUUUUGAUACUUUGCAGCAGGACCAUAUCUUCCUGACGUGUCCAUGGUUUAAUGUUUGUUGAAUCAGACUUUGACUGUGUAUCAUCUUUGACUGAAGUUGUUAGAAUUACUGUUUCUACAGCUGUGUCUUUAUUACCUGUGAUAAAACAAUAUGUUAACAGUAUUGCCCCUUCUGCUAUUAAUAAUAAAAUAUGAUUGGUAAAACGA